AUUCUUCAGGUAGAAGAGUUUUGCUGCAGCAUUCCCACACUGCUGCGUUCUUCCCGCUUCCUUUUGUAUCAGCCGCAGCAUGGAAGGAAGUCAGAAGGCAAAUCAGUCUUCCGUAAGCUCUUCAGUCCUCACCAUUUCUGCUAAGACUGGCAGUAGCAAUUCGUGACAAUUGUGGCAGUUGUUUCAGGCCCUUGGGCGAGGGACGCAGAGCAGAGUGGCCUGCUGACUGUCACGGGAUGGGAACGCAACUGGAUUUGGUUUGAGUCAGGAACCUGAAAACGAACAUUUCGGAGGAAGCUGGGAAGCAGUAUCGGGAGGAUGGCGUUAGCUGUGCGGAUGGGUUAAAUGAAAAUUCUGCCUGCUUUUGGAAAAGCCCUCUGGGAGGUGGACUUCUCUGUGCACAGGAGAGCACCCCCCCCCCCCCCCCCGUUUUCCCUUCCUUUCCUGAGUGCUGAUUUGUGUAUUGCUUUAUGAAGUGGAUCAGGACUUCGAAUCAGCUAAACCCACGUGGGGCUUCAUUCCUGGACCGAACUGAGAUCUUGUGAGCCACCAGGUCUUUGGACCUUGUCAAGAAGCAAAUGCAAGAAGGAAAAGUCACUUCAGUGUAUUUCACUACCAGCAGAUGAGCAUAAGAAGCCAGGUUUGGUUUUGGGAAAAACUCAGUGACAAUCUGCCUUGUAAUAAUUUCCCAUGGACUGAAGAAACUUGCUGAACUGAGCCCGUAUGAGAGAAAGCAUCCAGGAGUGAUAAAUCUGCUGUCCCCGUGAACCCCAGCAAGAAUCCCUGCGUGCUCCGAUAGCCUUGUUCCUCGCAAGAAAGAGCGAAACUGGCAAGUGGAAACAGGAGGUAGCGAUGAGUGGGGUUUUUUGAGAAAUUGGAGCUCGCUAAUCUUGCUUGAGAAGGCUGCAGAAUUUUCUAGGCACCCACCAGAAGCACCUGGGGGAAGAGAGGAGCUGUUGCAAUGGAGUUGCACAUGUUGGCGCUAUCGUUCACUGUUGCAUUGCGAAUAUCUUCUCUUGCUUCUGGGAACCAGCUUCAGCCCCAUAUUUACACUUUGGCGUUAAUUGUUUGGCUCCUUUGGAAAACUUCCUUGCAAAUUUGGUCUCCUGCCAGAAGAUGAUCUCUUGAUGCAGGGGGAUUGCUCUGUUUCUUGCUGUAAAUGAGCCAGGCGUUGCAGAGCGCGCUGACUCCCAAGUACUCUCCCUUAUGCUUUUAACCUUUGGAUUUAGGAAAGAGAGGACUCCUUUUCAGCAGGUAGGGGUUUUGCAAAGACACUUUUUCUCCCUGUGUCUGAGAUUUUGUGCUUCUGCUCUGACAAAUGCUUUUAGGACAUCUUGGAUGAGACACCAGGGGUGAGCUGUGUGCCAAGGUAUCAGAGAAG
rnacentral:lncRNA from 1 species